ensembl:lncRNA
GGGGAGGUGAGGAGGUUUUGCUGGAGAUCCCUUCCUGCCUGAGGUCUUCUAAAGGUGCUGGUUGCAUGGAAGGCAGGUGCCUUUUAUCCAAAGACAAGGAGUGUUCUCCAUAGGAAGUGUUUAUGUUCAUACUGCAACGCCAAAUUCAGAAAAUAGAUUACCUCUCAGGAAACCAUCUGUUCCAGCAUCCCGUGAACUUUCAGGCAGAGAAGUAAGUGAGGUUGGAAGAACUCUCCUGGAGCUCCUGUUAGCAGAAUGGAACUGGUAGAACAGGACACCAGUUCAAAAAGUCACCCUUUUGAGUGAUGGCGGCUGAGAAUUUCCAUUACUGUGACAUAAAGGGGACUCUGUGCAGCCGAGCUCCAGCUGAUUGCGCGCAAGAGUUCAAGGCAGCGUGAUUGACUGCGCCUGCCCCCCGCCAUCUCUGUGAUCAAAUCACAUUUGCCUAGUUUAUGUUUCUCCCCUUUCUCUGCGUGAAAGUGUCAAGCAAACAAAGGAGAGACAAGUAAUGGAAGGGGGGGAAAAAAAAUAAAAAGCAGAGCCACGUGAGUACAAAGUGCUUCCAGAGACAUAAAAUAAGCAGUUGGAAAAAAUGGGGAACAAUAUUGCCUUUAAUCUCCAAGAUAACCAGGUGCAGUCAUCCUGGAUGUUACUACUAACAUCUGUGGCUUAAAAAAAAAAAAUAGAAAGUCAACCUGUAGCUGAGUCAUUAAGUUCAGAGUGUCACUGCAAGGAUGGCUUUAAAAACAAACAGGAAUACACAGCAUCUCUGAAAGUAAGAAGGAUUCGAGAGGAGCUUGUUAAAGUGAGAGAUGCUUAUUUUGUCACCAUUGUAGCGAGGGACAAAGUCAGUUCAGGGGUUGAUGGUUGAUUUCUGUUUUAUCUGCUCGCUUCAGUGAUGGUGUGAGCUUAAGGUACGUGUGAGGAGGCAAGAGGGCACAUUUGGUGGCCAACUACGCUAGGUUUUGAUCCAAGCAACUUCCUCACGUUGUGAAGCAGGAGAAAAAUUAAGUCCAAGAGUGUGGCUAUCAUUUCCAAGAUAUCUCAAUGCAACACCAUGAAAGCCACCUGAAGUGAACAAGAACAGCAGAAAGCAGAGUAAGGAUGGACCAAUAUUUCUGUCGCUGAGAGGAAUCCCCCAGCCCACGUGCUAGGGCAGCUUCAAGCAUUGACUCAUCUGCUGUGAGAGCAAAUCAUGCUCUGUCAGAGAGAGGUAUAAGAAAAAGUGCUGGAAAAGGGGAAAUAAUGCCAGGGCAGGAAGCUUGUGUGUCCUUCAUGGUAAACGGGAGCAGUGCCUGUGAAGACAGACCCUUCACUUCAACCACAGGGAAGAAGAGUGUUGACAAAGCACCCAUCUCACGCUGCUCUUCCAAUAAUAGCUUCUCUACAACAAAAGAGGCUGGAGAGGCUGUUCUCAACUAACUUUGCGAUGGCGAAACUUGUCCGGAGACCUUUUGUAUGCUAAGUUUCUUGAAUCCAAGCAAUUACAUGCACCUUCCAUAACCACUGUCAUUUCAAUCGACUGUACUCCUCGAGUGGAAAGGGUGGGUGUGAUGUACUGUUACAGAGGUUAAUAGGACACGCCAGAAGCCUCAAGAACUCUUCAGCAUUUCUAUCUGGGAUGUGCUAAGAUGGCAGUACUUGCAUGGUGAAUAUAUUUUUACUGUGCUUUUUUAUGAUGUUUUCAUUAUGUGCUUUUAUUAUGUGGUUAUAAGCUGCUAGAAUGGAAACAGGAGCAAUAAAGCUUGAUUGAUCAUUAUAUUCCCAUCUAUAAAUGGGAUUUUUUUUCCGCCACCAUGAACAACAGACAAGUUUGAUCGGGACGCAAGUCCAAGCAUUAAGCCCAUUAAAUCCAGCUCCUCGGGUCAGAUCAGUGCUAAUGUACUCAAGCCUUCUUUAAACCGUCAGACCCUCAGCUUUGAGCAGCUGGAGAGGCAGCUGGGACAGUUGGUGCCCUGUGUGACCCACAGGCCGUGUGGGCUCUGCCACUUCUGAAAUCCCAAAAGCUGGAGCUAAAUUUGGAAACAAAACGGGUUGUCCCGGGCUGUUGCUUGGCAUCUUGUUUCUGAUGUGGUCCAAUUAUGCGGCUCUAAAAUGAGAGUUUUAUGCUCAUUUAGUGCUUAAUGAUUCACGAUGUGAGCAGCCUGACAAGUACCUCCAAACACCCCAUGUCCCCCUCGCUGUCCCCAUGGCACGGUGUGCUCUCCUGUGUGCUGCUGCAGGUCCCACUGCUGACUGCACCAUCCUGGGCUGGAGGAAAAGUGAGCCACCUGGGGGACAUCUGCCUAUGGUGGUUUCAGCCAUGGCCAAGUGUUGGGCUCUUUAUCAGGAACUGUAGGUACGCAGCACCUCACAGAAUCAGGCUUUUAGGGGAGUUUUGUUCAUCUCCGUGCAGUUCCCUUACGUGCAAUACCGUGCUUUAUAAAUGCUCCCAUCUGCCAAUGCAGGGAUUCAUCAGGCUGACGAACACUGCUGCUGUUUCAGCUGACACAGAUUCUGCAUCUUUCUGAGCUGUACCAGAGGCCUAUUCUCUGCAACACUUCUUUCAUUGUUCAUCUACUAUGGAGACAGCAGCUCACAGGAAAAUUUAUCUCCUGGAGAUCUCGGUGUGAGAAGAGGCUUUUCUCACACAGCCCUCCCAAACCUCCCUGCUGAGCCCUGCAAACGACCUGGUUGGACAGACGGACAGCGUGGGGAGGUGAGUGCUGGGAGAGGAAACAUUCUGGCUUUCAAGGAAGCAAGAGAGGCAAAUCUUGGCAGAAGCAUUAAUUUAUUUAUUGAAAGAAGCAAGGGAAAUCCUUCUUGUUCCUCUAAAUAAAACUCUCUCAUUCCCCGACUCCAGUCAUUCACAAGGAACGGAAGCGUUUUCCCAUCCUCUGUGGAUUUAAUGCCUUGUGUUGCUUGCUAAAUAUAUGCCAGCAUGCCACUUACUGCAGCGUGCAGGCUCGUGAUCUUUGCAUGGCUUCCUCCCCUCUAGGAAUGCCAUAAAUAAAUCACUAGGUCAGGAAGUCUGCUACAUGCCUCUGG